rnacentral:rRNA from 1 species
AGUUAACGCUAGCGGCGUGCUUCAGGCAUGCAAGUCGAACGAGAAAGUUCUUUUCGGAGAGCGAGUAAAGUGGCGCACGGGUGAGUAAUACUUAGAUUACCUACCCUCUCGCUGGGGAUAACUGGGGGAAACCCCAGCUAAUACCGAAUGACCCGGCAACGGGAAAGCCUUAGGGCGCGAGAGGAGGGGUCUAAGCCCCAUUAGCUUGUUGGCAGGGUAAAAGCCUACCAAGGCAACGAUGGGUAGCUGGUCUGAGAGGAUGUCCAGCCACACUGGAACUGAAACACGGUCCAGACUCCUACGGGAGGCAGCAGCUAGGAAUAUUGCGCAAUGGAGGAAACUCUGACGCAGCAACGCCGCGUGAAUGAUGAAGGCCUUCGGGUUGUAAAGUUCUUUUAGUUAGGAAGAAAUCAAUGACGGUACUAACAGAAAAAGCACCGGCAAACUUCG